GGACUACAGGGGUAUCUAAUCCUGUUUGCUCCCCACGCUUUCGUCUCUCAGCGUCAGUAUAGGACCAGGUAGCCGCCUUCGCCACCGGUGUUCCUCCUGAUAUCUACGUAUUUCACCACUACACCAGGAAUUCCACUACCCUCUUCCAUACUCAAGCCAAACAGUAUCAAAUGCACUUCCCGGGUUGAGCCCGGGGAUUUCACACCUGACUUAUUUGGCCGCCUACAGACUCUUUACGCCCAAUGAUUCCGAACAACGCUAGGGACCCUCGUAUUACCGCGGCUGCUGGCAC
rnacentral:rRNA from 1 species